GACGAACGCUGGCGGCGUGCCUAAUACAUGCAAGUCGAACGCUGAAGCCGGAGCUUUCUUCUCUGGAUGAGUUGCGAACGGGUGAGUAACACGUAGGUAACCUGCCCGUGAGUGGGGGAUAACUAUUGGAAACGAUAGCUAAUACCGCAUAAUAGCUGCUGCUGCAUGAUAUUUGCUUAAAAGGUUCAAUUGCAUCACUACCAGAUGGACCUGCGCUGUAUUAGCUUGUUGGUGGGGUAACGGCUCACCAAGGCGACUAUACAUAGCCGACCUGAGAGGGUGAUCGGCCACACUGGGACGGAGACACGGCCCAGACGGCUACGGGAGGGAGCAGGAGGGAAUCUUCGGCAAGGGGCGGAAGACUGAGCGAGCAACGCCGCGGGAGGGAAGAAGGGUGUCGGGUCGGAAAGGACGGUUGUAAGGGAAGAACGAGUGUGAGAGUGGAAAGUUCACAGUGUGACGGUAUCUGACCAGAAAGGGACGGCUAACUACGUG
rnacentral:rRNA from 1 species